CAGUCGCCGCGGGAAUACGAAGGGGGCUAGCGUUGUUCGGAAUUACUGGGCGUAAAGCGCACGUAGGCGGCUUUGUAAGUCAGAGGUGAAAGCCUGGAGCUCAACUCCAGAAUUGCCUUUGAGACUGCAUCGCUUGAACGUCGGAGAGGUGAGUGGAAUUCCGAGUGUAGAGGUGAAAUUCGUAGAUAUUCGGAAGAACACCAGUGGCGAAGGCGGCUCACUGGACGACUGCUGACGCUGAGGUGCGAAAGCGUGGGGAGCAAACAGGAUUAGAUACCCCCGUAGUCCCUGUCUCUUAUAA
rnacentral:rRNA from 1 species